rnacentral:misc_RNA from 1 species
CUGUGGAAACAAACAAACAGA